rnacentral:tRNA from 1 species
CGAAAUGUAGCUUAUUUAAAGUUGUUUAUUUACAUUAAAUUGAAAAUUUUUAAUUCUUUUCGA